UUGAACGCUGGCGGCAGGCCUAACACAUGCAAGUCGCACGGUAACAGGAAGCAGCUUGCUGCUUUGCUGACGAGUGGCGGACGGGUGAGUAAUGUCUGGGAAACUGCCCGAUGGAGGGGGAUAACUACUGGAAACGGUAGCUAAUACCGCAUAACGUCGCAAGACCAAAGAGGGGGACCUUAGGGCCUCUUGCCAUCGGAUGUGCCCAGAUGGGAUUAGCUAGUAGGUGGGGUAACGGCUCACCUAGGCGACGAUCCCUAGCCGGUCUGAGAGGAUGACCAGCCACACUGGAACUGAGACACGGUCCAGACUCCUACGGGAGGCAGCAGUGGGGAAUAUUGCACAAUGGGCGCAAGCCUGAUGCAGCCAUGCCGCGUGUAUGAAGAAGGCCUUCGGGUUGUAAAGUACUUUCAGCGGGGAGGAAGGGAGUAAAGUUAAUACCUUUGCUCAUUGACGUUACCCGCAGAAGAAGCACCGGCUAACUCCGUG
rnacentral:rRNA from 1 species